rnacentral:tRNA from 1 species
CGCCCGGUCGUAUAACGGCAAUUAUUUCUGAAUUUGGCUCAGAAGAUGGGGGUUCGAUUCCCUCCCGGGCUGCCA